GUGGGGAAUAUUGGACAAUGGGCGAAAGCCUGAUCCAGCAAUGCCGCGUGAGUGAUGAAGGCCCUAGGGUUGUAAAGCUCUUUUACCAGGGAUGAUAAUGACAGUACCUGGAGAAUAAGCUCCGGCUAACUCCGUGCCAGCAGCCGCGGUAAUACGGAGGGAGCUAGCGUUGUUCGGAAUUACUGGGCGUAAAGCGGGCGUAGGCGGUUUUUUAAGUCAGAGGUGAAAGCCCGGGGCUCAACCCCGGAAUUGCCUUUGAAACUGGAAAACUUGAAUCUUGGAGAGGUCAGUGGAAUUCCGAGUGUAGAGGUGAAAUUCGUAGAUAUUCGGAAGAACACCAGUGGCGAAGGCGACUGACUGGACAAGUAUUGACGCUGAGGUGCGAAAGCGUGGGGAGCAAACAGGAUUAGAAACCCCAGUAGUCC
rnacentral:rRNA from 1 species